UGAUGAACGCUGGCGGCGUGCCUAAUACAUGCAAGUCGAGCGAACAGAUAAGGAGCUUGCUCCUUUGACGUUAGCGGCGGACGGGUGAGUAACACGUGGGUAACCUACCUAUAAGACUGGGACAACUUCGGGAAACCGGAGCUAAUACCGGAUAAUAUGUUGAACCGCAUGGUUCAAUAGUGAAGGAUGGUUUUGCUAUCACUUAUAGAUGGACCUGCGCCGUAUUAGCUAGUUGGUGAGGUAACGGCUCACCAAGGCAACGAUACAUAGCCGACCUGAGAGGGUGAUCGGCCACACUGGAACUGAGACACGGUCCAGACUCCUACGGGAGGCAGCAGUAGGGAAUCUUCCGCAAUGGGCGAAAGCCUGACGGAGCAACGCCGCGUGAGUGAUGAAGGUCUUAGGAUCGUAAAACUCUGUUAUUAGGGAAGAACAAACGUGUAAGUAACUGUGCACGUCUUGACGGUACCUAAUCAGAAAGCCACGGCUAACUACGUGCCAGCAGCCGCGGUAAU
rnacentral:rRNA from 1 species